AACGCGAAGAACCUUACCUACUCUUGACAUCCAGAGAAGCCAGCGGAGACGCAGGUGUGCCUUCGGGAGCUCUGAGACAGGUGCUGCAUGGCUGUCGUCAGCUCGUGUUGUGAAAUGUUGGGUUAAGUCCCGCAACGAGCGCAACCCUUAUCCUUGUUUGCCAGCGAGUAAUGUCGGGAACUCCAGGGAGACUGCCGGUGAUAAACCGGAGGAAGGUGGGGACGACGUCAAGUCAUCAUGGCCCUUACGAGUAGGGCUACACACGUGCUACAAUGGCGCAUACAGAGGGCAGCCAACUUGCGAAAGUGAGCGAAUCCCAAAAAGUGCGUCGUAGUCCGGAUUGGAGUCUGCAACUCGACUCCAUGAAGUCGGAAUCGCUAGUAAUCGUAGAUCAGAAUGCUACGGUGAAUACGUUCCCGGGUCUUGUACACACCG
rnacentral:rRNA from 1 species